rnacentral:sRNA from 1 species
CACCGAGUCCGAAGGCCCUGGUGAUCUCCGGGGCCUGGUGCAAAAGGGA